UACGUAGGGUGCAAGCGUUGUCCGGAAUUAUUGGGCGUAAAGAGCUCGUAGGCGGUUUGUCGCGUCUGCUGUGAAAACUCGGGGCUUAACCCCGGGCCUGCAGUGGGUACGGGCAGACUAGAGUGCGGUAGGGGAGACUGGAAUUCCUGGUGUAGCGGUGAAAUGCGCAGAUAUCAAGAAGAACACCCGUGGCGAAGGCGGUUCUCUGGGACGGUACUGACGCUGAGACGCGAAAGCGUGGGGAGCGAACAGG
rnacentral:rRNA from 1 species